rnacentral:tRNA from 1 species
GUUCUGGCUGGAGCGGGCGUGCUGCUCUGGCGCUGGGUGCGCCCAUGAUUGUGCAGCAGCGCGUGAUCCUUGCGCGCGCAGGACU